rnacentral:rRNA from 1 species
ACUGCUCAGUAACACGUGGACAACCUACCCUUAGGACUGGGAUAAACCUGGGAAACUGGGUAUAAUACCGGAUAGGGCUCGGAUGCUGGAAUGCAUCGAGUCCCAAAGCUCCGGCGCCUAAGGAUGGGUCUGCGGCCUAUCAGGGUAGUAGUGGGUGUAAUGUACCUACUAGCCUACGACGGGUACGGGUCGUGAGAGCGAGAGCCCGGAGAUGGAUUCUGAGACACGAAUCCAGGCCCUACGGGGUGCAGCAGGCGCGAAAACUUUACAAUGCUGGAAACAGCGAUAGGGGGACUUUGAGUGCCAGGAUACAAUCUUGGCUGUCGUCGUGCCUAAAAAGCACGGCAUAGCAAGGGCCGGGCAAGACCGGUGCCAGCCGCCGCGGUAACACCGGCGGCUCGAGUGGUAACCGCUAUUAUUGGGUCUAAAGGGUCUGUAGCCGGCUGAAAAAGUCUCUUGGGAAAUCCGAUAGCUUAACUAUCGGGCUUUCAGGAGAUACUCUUCGGCUCGAGACCGGGAGAGGUGAGAGGUACUUCAUGGGUAGGGGUGAAAUCUUGUAAUCCUUGAAGGACCACCAGUGGCGAAGGCGUCUCACCAGAACGGAUCUGACGGCAAGGGACGAAAGCUAGGGGCACGAACCGGAUUAGAUACCCGGGUAGUCCUAGCCGUAAACGAUACUCGCUAGGUGUCGGCCACGGUGCGACCGUGGUCGGUGCCGUAGGGAAGCCGUGAAGCGAGCCACCUGGGAAGUACGGCCGCAAGGCUGAAACUUAAAGGAAUUGGCGGGGGAGCAC